CGAGCUGGGGACGAUGCUUCCGGCCGCGGGAGGCGAGUACGCGUACAUCCUGGCGGCGUUCGGCGGCCUCCCCGCCUUCCUCACGCUCUGGGUCAACGUGCUGGUGAUCCGGCCGGCGACGCAGGCGGUGGUGGCGCUCACCUUCGCCGAGUACGCGCUGGCGCUCACCUUCCCCUCCUGCGACCCGCCGCGCGCCGCCGUCACGCUCCUCGCCGCCGCCGCACUCGGCUUGCUGACGUUCAUCAACUGCGCCAGCGUUCGUCUAACCAUGCGGAUUCAGACCCUAUUUACUGGCGCGAAGUUGCUGGCGCUCGUCGUUAUCAUCGGGGCCGGAGCGAUGCACCUUUGCUCAGGACACACGGAGCAGCUGGAGCGGGCGUGGGACGGCGAGCACAGCGUGGGCGGCGUGGCCCUCGCCCUCUACUCGGGCCUCUUCGCCUACGGGGGCUGGAACUACCUCAACUUCGUCACCGAGGAACUCAAGGAUCCCUACAGGAACCUCCCGCGCGCCAUCUGGGUGGGCCUCCCCCUCGUCACCGUCAUCUACGUGCUCGUUAACGUGUCGUACCUGGCCGUCCUCAGCCCGUCGGCGCUCAUGUCUUCCAACGCCGUGGCGGUGUCGUUCGGCACCAUCAUGCUGGGUCCGCUGCGCUACGCCGUGCCGGUGUUCGUGGCGCUGUCCACCUUCGGCAGCCUCAACGGCAUCCUGUUCACGUCGGGCCGCCUGUUCCUGGCGGGCGCGCGCAAGGGCCACCUGCCGCCCGUCCUCGCCUUCAUCCACCUCAGGAAGAGGACGCCCGUCCCUGCGCUCGCCAUCACGCACCACCAGCGCCACAGCGCUCAUCCCCGCUCCUUCCCUCCGCAGUGCUUCCUGUCCCUGUGCAUGCUCGGCGCCGACAUCAUCUCCCUGAUCAACUGCCUCUCCUUCGUGCUGUGGCUGAGCAUCGGGGCCGCCAUUGCCGCGCUGCUGUGGCUCAGGACAACGCAGCCGCAGUUACACAGGCCCAUCAGGGUGCACGUGGCGCUGCCCAUCACCUUCCUGGCCUGCUGCGUGUACCUGGUGGUGGUGCCCAUGGUGACGGAGCCCCGGAGUACAGAUAGAGAUAGAUAUAAACCAAAGUACAAGCCGGUCGAUAAGGAGCCAAUGGAAGGUAGAAAGAAUCCUACAGCCCUCCUCCCCCCCCUCGCGCAGGCAUGGGCAUCAUCAUGACGCUCUCGGGGAUCCCUGUGUAUGUGGCCGGCGUCCUGUGGAAGAACAAGCCGGAGCUGCUCAACGCCGUACACAAGAGCGUGACACAUCGCCUGCAGCGCGUCCUCCUGGUGGUCGAGCCUGACGAGCCUGUGGACGUCCCCCUCCUCCCCGCUGGCGACGCUCAGACAUAAGGGAGAGGGAGGGAGGGAGGGUGGGUAGGAAGACAGGG